CGCUCCGAUAUAUCUGAUGGCGACUGUACAUAUUCGUGCAAUCUAAUUUGAACCUUACAUGAACCAAAUAAAGUAGCAUUACUUUCGUUUCAUUGCUUUCUAAAACAAACGAAAUUCGUUCUAAUUUACUUAUAGAAUAAGGUUCAAAUUAAAAAUUGAAAACUUUAUAUGGAGACUUACGAAGUUAUAUUGCUGUCAACAGGGCGGUUCAAUGUACUAAAAUCUAUAUGAAAAGCGUCACUGCUUUAUUGAAUAAAUGCCCCUAAUAUUAAUCUCGAUGACGCAUUCACUAAUUCGAUAUCAUUAAUAAAUUAUAGCAGCCUAAUUUUAUUUGUUUGCUUAUCUAUCUGCUUAUUGUUGAACUGUUGAUAUCACCUGUUUAAAGUAGGUGCAAAGAUAUUUAAUUUAGAAACAAAAAUGUUUGUGAAUUAAUAAAUUAAUAAUAUUUCAUGUGCGGCAAAUUGCGACAAGUCAUAUACUUACUGUUCUUGUUCUUAUUACUUUCCCAUUUACUAUGCUUUUUUCACGCUUGUCCAUAAUCACUAAUUUCAAUAUACACAUUUUCCAUUCUCUAUUUUUGACAAUAGAAAUAUGGAAAAUGGCUUUCUUUAUAGCAAUCCAUGGUAUACGUGAACAUCGUAAGACCCAAUGCUAUUUGUUUAUAUACGUAGGCCAAAAAUUGGGUCUUGCGAGGCUACUCCUUACCAUCUCGAUAUAUUGAUACGAACGUAGAUAAGUGUGUUUGACGACGCGGUUAAGACAAAAGUGGAGGACGCGCGUGAAAUCGUUUUUUCAUACAAACGUAGUCCUGAUUCUGGAUAAUUUUGACACAAUUUGUAGUAUAAUCGCUAUGAGAUAUAUCGGAGCGGCCAAAGUGCUCAAAAAUAUUUGAACACGCACUUGACAAUAGAGGCGUAUUCAGAUAUUUGUGAGUGCCUCGGCCGCUCCGAUGUAGAUACAUCGGAGCGGCCGAGGCAACUGUAACUGUAUGGCAACUGUAUAUCAGCCAAAGCUAUGCCGCUACGUUUGAUGGUUAACAUAUUUUUAUCUGUUAUAAGAAUUAGGAGCCGUUUUUCGUUCGUAAUUUUUAUGGCUAUUCAUCAAAUUAUGUAAAAGUACUUUCCAUAACGUCAAUAUCCAGAGAGGAAAAUGGGAACUACGUUUGCAUGGAGAAACUUCCGUCCCCUUUCCUCUUAAUAAGUACUUUUAUGUCUGACCACUAUACGUUUGACGUCACAUAUUUUUCGCCUUAUCACAAUGGAACAGGGUAUAAAAGUACAAAUAUAUCUUUUAGGUUGCGUUUUAAUCGCACUGUCACUCACGCAAUUUAUUAAAAAAAUAUUUUUAUGCUUGUUUUGUCUGUAAAUUUCUUAUGGUAAAUUAUUGAAGCCGCUGCUGUGGUCUACAAUAUUUAGUAUUGUAACACUUACAGUAUUAUUCAAGAACAUCACUAUCAGCUACAGUACUACGAUUAAUAUUAUGUGUCGGCAAUAUAUUCGGUAGCAAAAAUACAUCCGGCAAAGAGAGUUAUCAAACAUCGUACCUAAACAUUGAUGCAACUGAAAUGUGACUGAAGCUCAUAAUUAUAGUCGUAGUACAUGUCACACGAGUCUUUAUUUUCUGUCUUUAUCAUCAUUUCAUUCAUCAUAAUCAUCAUUUAUCUAUCAAAUUUUUAAUGAAUUUCAUCAAUUAUUUUAAUUUGUUUAUUUGUAGGCAUGCUUAUGAGGCAGGUAGAUAUAAUUUUAAUAAUUUAGACAUGCUGGUCGUGACUAAUAAAUUGACAUAUCCUGAUAUUUUUGAAUGGCUUGUAAUUCUCUUGGCAAAAUUGGUCAUUAAGAAGAAAUAAACGUUCAUUUCCAUCAAGAAAAUUUCUAAAAGAGACAUACUAGCACAAAUCCCCGUGAGAAUGGGGUUGGCCGGUCGCAGUAUUUAACAGAUGGCGCUAACAUAGCUUGCCCUGUCAGUCCCUAGAAUUACGCCAGCCCUUUAAGCCAAAUCUCAUAGAACUAAACUAGAGAUAGGAGCAGGCUAUGAUCGCGCCAUCUAUGCAAACCUUUGUCAGUUGUCAACCCCAUUGAUUGGCUCAUUCACAUGUUGCUUUAGAGAAUUACACCUUUGAAUUACAUAAAAAUAUAUUCAUUGGGAUAAACGCA